rnacentral:rRNA from 1 species
CACACCAUGCUGAAUAUACCGGUUCUCAUUAGAUCACCGAAGUCAAGCAUCAUUGGGCGCGGUCAGUACUUGGGUGGGUGACCACCUGGGAACACCACGUGCCGUU